UACGUAGGGUGCAAGCGUUGUCCGGAAUUAUUGGGCGUAAAGAGCUCGUAGGCGGUUUGUCGCGUCUGCUGUGAAAAUCCAGGGCUUAACCCUGGACCUGCAGUGGGUACGGGCAGACUGGAGUGCGGUAGGGGAGAUCGGAAUUCCUGGUGUAGCGGUGAAAUGCGCAGAUAUCAGGAGGAACACCGAUGGCGAAGGCAGGUCUCUGGGCCACUACUGACGCUGAGAAGCGAAAGCGUGGGGAGCGAACAGG
rnacentral:rRNA from 1 species